rnacentral:sRNA from 1 species
ACAUGCCUUGAGUAUCUUAGUUCCUUUCUUAUAUCCAUCCGGAAAACAUUCCACGUAGUUCAGUUCUUUUGCCGCUUCUCUUCCAAACAUCU